GCUGGGCAUGGUGGUGCAUGCCUGUAAUCCCAGUGACUCAGGAGACUGAGGCAGGAGGAUUGUGAGUUCAAAGUUAGCCUCCGCAAAAGCAAGGUGCUGAGUAACUCAGAGAGACCCUGCCUCUA
rnacentral:sRNA from 1 species